rnacentral:lncRNA from 1 species
CUAAGGUGUGUGAGAGGUUGUGUGAGUCCUGAGGUGUGUGAGAGGAUUGUGUGUGAGUCCUGAGGUGUGUGAGGGGUUAUGUAUGGGCCCCUGAGGUGUGUGAGGGGUUUUAUGUGUGUCCUGAGAAGUGUGAUGAAUUGUGUGGGUCCUGAGGUGUGUGAGGGUUUGUGUAUGAGACCCUGAGGUGUGUCAACAUUGUGUGUGAGACCCUGAGGUGUGUGAGGGGUUGUGUGUGGAUUCCUGAGGUGUGUGAGGGCUUGUGUGUAUGAGCCUGAGGUGUGUGGGUUCCUUAUAUGGGUUCCUGAGGUGUGUGAGGGGUUGUGUGUGUGUCCUGAGGUGUGUGAGGGGUUGUGCUUGGGUCCUGGGGUGUGUGAGUGGGUGUUUGUCCUGAGGUGUGUGAGAGGUUGUGUGUGUGUCCUGAGGUGUGUGAGAGUUUGCGUAGGUUCCUGAGGUAUGUGAGGGGUUGUGUGUGUCCUGAGGUGUGUGAGAGGUUGUGUGAGUCCCUGGGGUGUGUGAGAGUUUGUGUAGGUUUCUGAGGUGUGUGAGAGUUUGUGUAGCUUCCUGAGGUGUGUGAGAGGUUGUGUGAGUCCCUGAGGUGCGUGAGGGGUUGUGUGUGUCCUGAAGUGUGUGAGAGGUUGUGUAGGUUUCAGGCUUUGCAGCUCCCCUCCUGAGCCUCAGCCGGGCGGCUCCCAGGGCAGGGUCCCCCCAUCCCUGUCUCUGCUGCGGCUCUCUGUGUGUUGCUCUUCCCGGCCUGGCCAGGACAUUUUCUUCAUUGAGUCUUCCCCAGAUUCUCACCCUGCAGCAACCACGUGCGGCAGCAGUAGGACCCAACUGAUUAGAAAGGAAAUUACAUAGUCAGUGACCAGCUGAGACUGAGUACGGACAGAGGAAGAAGCUAACUUACAUCUAAAGAGACCUGAAGUCAGGAGACAUUUCUAGAUAAACCCCUCAGCCAGAUAACAUCAACCCAUGACUUCCAAUACCAUUGCUGAAGAGGUCACAGAGGAGAGAGAAUCCUGAGAAGAUUUUUAAAAUCUGAAAGUUCUUGUAUUAAAAGAAGUGGGAAGUUUCUUGGUAUGUGUAUGAAGCCUAAGAUUGAGAUAGUGGUACUGAGGGUGGCAUGAUACCCCAUUGAGGCUGGGAGUUUUAUUUCUUUUAAGUCUUUCUGUAGGUAUACCUCUGUGGGUUCCUGCCACUUCUAAACCAUAGUUAUAAGGCCAAUAAAUACAUAAAACAAUCUUCCUACUGCUCGCAGGCACCAUGCUCUUCCUAAUAGCUCUAUAAGAACCCUUUAUUGCUCGUGACCCUGUGUCCACAUUAUGCUAUCUGAUUAUUCAUAAUUUUUCUCGGAUCUGCUUGAUAUGAAACAUGGAUACAGCCAUAUUUGAAGGAACAUGUUACAGGAAAAGAAACCCCGACCUCGGAAUCUGAGGAUUUGUAUAAUUUGGACUUUACACAAAAUAAUUAUGUAAUUUUGGGCAAGUCCCUUAAUACAGUAUUUGAACUCAAUUUUAUUGCCCCUUUUAGGUCUAAACUCUCAGCUGUGAGUACUAAUUUGUGGCGUGAUGGUGAGGUGAAAUGGCAGAGGCCCAUGGCACAUCAUUGCAGAAUAUGCGUUAGACUUUCACAAGUCAUCAGUCAUGAAUUUCAGGAUCUGGCUGCUUGUCUUCAUGGGAGACGUCAGGAACCCACCACUUAACCACACAAGGGCCCAACUCAUCGAGCAUUACAGCUUGGGGAAGAAACGCCAGCCGCGAGCCAGAGAAACAAAAACGAGGGGCUGUCCCUAAAAUGCAGGAUCCAAGGGCCUGGAGCUGGAGAGAAAUCAGGCAGCACCUCACAGAAUCCAGGCUCACAGAAAGUCUGUUUCGAUCAGAAUUUAAAACAACCCUCUUCCUGCUGCAACUCUUCAGGCCACUGACAAGGUGACAGGAUCACAUUUUGUACAGGAUACAAACAUAUUCCCUAUGGGUGGACAAAACGACCCCGUAGCCCAUCUACACCAAGGAGCUGCACCUGUGCCCUGUGUAGCCAGAUGCAAUUUUCUAUUAUUGGAAAAUCCACUUUAAGUUGUUCCUUAGCAAAUUCUUCCCAAGUACUGUUUCCUUUCCUCAAUUCCUGGCCUAGCAAGUCUAGAAAGAAAACAAAAAGAAUGUAAAAUGUUCUUGGUUGACUUUACUCUUAAUUACUAAAAAGCAAACAGAGAAAAUUAAAAUCAAACACAUGCAAAAAAUUCUUCUAGAGCCUUGCACACAAUGCCAGUUCUUGAAAUAUUUCAUAAAGCAAAGCUAAUGAAAUAAACAAAGACGUGGCUGAAAGGA